GAUGAACGCUAGCUACAGGCUUAACACAUGCAAGUCGAGGGGCAUCAUGGUCUUAGCUUGCUAAGGCCGAUGGCGACCGGCGCACGGGUGAGUAACACGUAUCCAACCUGCCGUCUACACUUGGACAGCCUUCUGAAAGGAAGAUUAAUACAAGAUGGCAUCAUGAGUCCGCAUGUUCACAUGAUUAAAGGUAUUCCGGUAGACGAUGGGGAUGCGUUCCAUUAGCUAGUAGGCGGGGUAACGGCCCACCUAGCCUUCGAUGGAUAGGGGUUCUGAGAGGAAGGACCCCCACAUUGGAACUGAGACACGGUCCAAACUCCUACGGGAGGCAGCAGUGAGGAAUAUUGGUCAAUGGGCGCAGGCCUGAACCAGCCAAGUAGCGUGAAGGAGGACUGCCCUAUGGUUUGUAAACUUCUUUUAUUAAGGAAUAAAGUCGGGUAAGUAUACCCGUUUGCAUGUACUUUAUGAAUAAGGAUCGGCUAACUCCGUG
rnacentral:rRNA from 1 species